AGCGAACGCUGGCGGCAGGCCUAACACAUGCAAGUCGAACGAAGCCUUCGGGCUUAGUGGCGGACGGGUGAGUAACACGUGGGAACGUACCUUUUGGUUCGGAACAACUCAGGGAAACUUGAGCUAAUACCGGAUGAGCCCUUAGGGGGAAAGAUUUAUCGCCGAAAGAGCGGCCCGCGUUAGAUUAGCUAGUUGGUGAGGUAAAGGCUCACCCAGGCAGCGAUCUAUAGCUGGUCUGAGAGGAUGAUCAGCCACACUGGGACUGAGACACGGCCCAGACUCCUACGGGAGGCAGCAGUGGGGAAUCUUGCGCAAUGGGCGAAAGCCUGACGCAGCCAUGCCGCGUGAAUGAUGAAGGUCUUAGGAUUGUAAAAUUCUUUUACCAGGGACGAUAAUGACGGUACCUGGAGAAAAAGCCCCGGCUAACUUCGUGCCAGCAGCCGCGGUAAUAC
rnacentral:rRNA from 1 species